CAGAAGUGAAGCAGCUUCUUGAUCUUGUGGAGAGUCCAGACUAUAAACUGGAGACUCUGAGGUGGAAGUAUUCAUGGGAAUAAACAGGAUGAUCUGUGUCCUGAUGAUCCAGAGGGUGAAGCAGCAGCAGCUUGUGUGGACAGAGACUCUGACUGCAGAUAAAUGCUGAUGUUGAUGAAGAAGUGAGCAGCUCAGUCACAAACAUUCUUCUCCCAGUGAUGCAGCCAGUGUUCAGUUUCUCUCACUCAGCAGAUACAUGUGUUUGUGCUCCUGCUGCUCUAUGGACUCCACUGAGUCAACAUCUAAAACUAUUUGGACUUUUCUGUUGGGUUCAGUGGAGGUGUGUAUGUGCUGGAUGCUUGAACACAAUCAGCUGAUAGGUGUGUAUGUGCUAUGAUUGGUGUAUUCCUGCUGCGGCCGUAGAAAUAAAAUAGGAACAUGUCAGAUGGAAUCAGCCUCCAAUCAUCAUGUGAUGACUCUUCUGAAAGGAGAACUUCAUCUUUACAGACUCAUGUUGGACGUGUUCUGUUGUUUCCGUCUAUAAUGAAUUUAAUUUAAGGACUAAUGACACUUCUGAGGAAGAUUGGAGUCUCAGUCCAAACUAUCAAGCAGGUAAAGAAACAUCUCCUGCACUGUAAUAAAUAUUGAACAGGUCUAACCUUAUUUAUCCAUCACUCACUUCAAAAAGUGUAAAACUCAUAAAACCUCCUCCUGUAAUUUUUGUUCAAUUGACACCGAAUGUGCAUU